UACGUAGGUGGCAAGCGUUAUCCGGAAUUAUUGGGCGUAAAGCGCUCGCAGGCGGUUUCUUAAGUCUGAUGUGAAAGCCCACGGCUCAACCGUGGAGGGUCAUUGGAAACUGGGAGACUUGAGUGCAGAAGAGGAGAGUGGAAUUCCACGUGUAGCGGUGAAAUGCGUAGAGAUGUGGAGGAACACCAGUGGCGAAGGCGACUCUCUGGUCUGUAACUGACGCUGAGGAGCGAAAGCGUGGGGAGCCAAACAGGG
rnacentral:rRNA from 1 species